GGGUUGUGAGGUUAAGCGACUAAGCGUACACGGUGGAUGCCCUGGCAGUCAGAGGCGAUGAAGGACGUGCUAAUCUGCGAUAAGCGUCGGUAAGGUGAUAUGAACCGUUAUAACCGGCGAUUUCCGAAUGGGGAAACCCAGUGUGUUUCGACACACUAUCAUUAACUGAAUCCAUAGGUUAAUGAGGCGAACCGGGGGAACUGAAACAUCUAAGUACCCCGAGGAAAAGAAAUCAACCGAGAUUCCCCCAGUAGCGGCGAGCGAACGGGGAGGAGCCCAGAGCCUGAAUCAGUGUGUGUGUUAGUGGAAGCGUCUGGAAAGGCGCGCGAUACAGGGUGACAGCCCCGUACACAAAAAUGCACAUGCUGUGAGCUCGAUGAGUAGGGCGGGACACGUGGUAUCCUGUCUGAAUAUGGGGGGACCAUCCUCCAAGGCUAAAUACUCCUGACUGACCGAUAGUGAACCAGUACCGUGAGGGAAAGGCGAAAAGAACCCCGGUGAGGGGAGUGAAAAAGAACCUGAAACCGUGUACGUACAAGCAGUGGGAGCACGCUUAGGCGUGUGACUGCGUACCUUUUGUAUAAUGGGUCAGCGACUUAUAUUCUGUAGCAAGGUUAACCGAAUAGGGGAGCCGAAGGGAAACCGAGUCUUAACUGGGCGUUAAGUUGCAGGGUAUAGACCCGAAACCCGGUGAUCUAGCCAUGGGCAGGUUGAAGGUUGGGUAACACUAACUGGAGGACCGAACCGACUAAUGUUGAAAAAUUAGCGGAUGACUUGUGGCUGGGGGUGAAAGGCCAAUCAAACCGGGAGAUAGCUGGUUCUCCCCGAAAGCUAUUUAGGUAGCGCCUCGUGAAUUCAUCUCCGGGGGUAGAGCACUGUUUCGGCAAGGGGGUCAUCCCGACUUACCAACCCGAUGCAAACUGCGAAUACCGGAGAAUGUUAUCACGGGAGACACACGGCGGGUGCUAACGUCCGUCGUGAAGAGGGAAACAACCCAGACCGCCAGCUAAGGUCCCAAAGUCAUGGUUAAGUGGGAAACGAUGUGGGAAGGCCCAGACAGCCAGGAUGUUGGCUUAGAAGCAGCCAUCAUUUAAAGAAAGCGUAAUAGCUCACUGGUCGAGUCGGCCUGCGCGGAAGAUGUAACGGGGCUAAACCAUGCACCGAAGCUGCGGCAGCGACGCUGAUGCGUUGUUGGGUAGGGGAGCGUUCUGUAAGCCUGUGAAGGUGUGCUGUGAGGCAUGCUGGAGGUAUCAGAAGUGCGAAUGCUGACAUAAGUAACGAUAAAGCGGGUGAAAAGCCCGCUCGCCGGAAGACCAAGGGUUCCUGUCCAACGUUAAUCGGGGCAGGGUGAGUCGACCCCUAAGGCGAGGCCGAAAGGCGUAGUCGAUGGGAAACAGGUUAAUAUUCCUGUACUUGGUGUUACUGCGAAGGGGGGACGGAGAAGGCUAUGUUGGCCGGGCGACGGUUGUCCCGGUUUAAGCGUGUAGGCUGGUUUUCCAGGCAAAUCCGGAAAAUCAAGGCUGAGGCGUGAUGACGAGGCACUACGGUGCUGAAGCAACAAAUGCCCUGCUUCCAGGAAAAGCCUCUAAGCAUCAGGUAACAUCAAAUCGUACCCCAAACCGACACAGGUGGUCAGGUAGAGAAUACCAAGGCGCUUGAGAGAACUCGGGUGAAGGAACUAGGCAAAAUGGUGCCGUAACUUCGGGAGAAGGCACGCUGAUAUGUAGGUGAAGCGACUUGCUCGUGGAGCUGAAAUCAGUCGAAGAUACCAGCUGGCUGCAACUGUUUAUUAAAAACACAGCACUGUGCAAACACGAAAGUGGACGUAUACGGUGUGACGCCUGCCCGGUGCCGGAAGGUUAAUUGAUGGGGUUAGCGCAAGCGAAGCUCUUGAUCGAAGCCCCGGUAAACGGCGGCCGUAACUAUAACGGUCCUAAGGUAGCGAAAUUCCUUGUCGGGUAAGUUCCGACCUGCACGAAUGGCGUAAUGAUGGCCAGGCUGUCUCCACCCGAGACUCAGUGAAAUUGAACUCGCUGUGAAGAUGCAGUGUACCCGCGGCAAGACGGAAAGACCCCGUGAACCUUUACUAUAGCUUGACACUGAACAUUGAGCCUUGAUGUGUAGGAUAGGUGGGAGGCUUAGAAGUGUGGACGCCAGUCUGCAUGGAGCCGACCUUGAAAUACCACCCUUUAAUGUUUGAUGUUCUAACGUUGACCCGUAAUCCGGGUUGCGGACAGUGUCUGGUGGGUAGUUUGACUGGGGCGGUCUCCUCCUAAAGAGUAACGGAGGAGCACGAAGGUUGGCUAAUCCUGGUCGGACAUCAGGAGGUUAGUGCAAUGGCAUAAGCCAGCUUGACUGCGAGCGUGACGGCGCGAGCAGGUGCGAAAGCAGGUCAUAGUGAUCCGGUGGUUCUGAAUGGAAGGGCCAUCGCUCAACGGAUAAAAGGUACUCCGGGGAUAACAGGCUGAUACCGCCCAAGAGUUCAUAUCGACGGCGGUGUUUGGCACCUCGAUGUCGGCUCAUCACAUCCUGGGGCUGAAGUAGGUCCCAAGGGUAUGGCUGUUCGCCAUUUAAAGUGGUACGCGAGCUGGGUUUAGAACGUCGUGAGACAGUUCGGUCCCUAUCUGCCGUGGGCGCUGGAGAACUGAGGGGGGCUGCUCCUAGUACGAGAGGACCGGAGUGGACGCAUCACUGGUGUUCGGGUUGUCAUGCCAAUGGCACUGCCCGGUAGCUAAAUGCGGAAGAGAUAAGUGCUGAAAGCAUCUAAGCACGAAACUUGCCCCGAGAUGAGUUCUCCCUGACCCUUUAAGGGUCCUGAAGGAACGUUGAAGACGACGACGUUGAUAGGCCGGGUGUGUAAGCGCAGCGAUGCGUUGAGCUAACCGGUACUAAUGAACCGUGAGGCUUAACCUUACAACGCCGAAGCUGUU
rnacentral:rRNA from 1 species